rnacentral:rRNA from 1 species
AUUCCAGCUCCAAUAGCGAAUACUAAUUCUGCUGCAGUUAAAAAGCUCGUAGUUGAACUUCUGGUAGGACAGAUCCGGCCUUUGGAUGAAUGUCCAUUGUAUGCUGUGUGUCUUGUCUGGCCAUCCUUUAUGUCUUUUAGGCGUAAUCUUUCACUGUAAAAAAAUUAGGGUGUUUCAAGCAAAAGUUAUUUGGAAUAUAUUAGUAUGGGAUGAUAAGAUAGGCUCUUGAGUGCUAUUUUGUUGGUUUAUACACUUAGAGAAUGAUUAACAGGGACAGUCAGGGGCACACGUACUCCGCCGAGAGAGGUGAAAUUCUCAGACCAGCGGAAGACGAACCACUGCGAAAGCAUUUGCCAGGGAUGUUUUCAUUA